GACAGAGGAGGCAAGCGUUGUUCGGAAUCAUUGGGCUUAAAGGGCGUGCAGGCGGCGGCGCAAGUGUCGAGUGAAAUCCCAUCGCUCAACGAUGGAACGGCUCGGCAAACUGCGUCGCUUGAGGUCGGUAGAGGUGCUCGGAACUCUAGGUGGAGCGGUGAAAUGCGUAGAUAUCUAGAGGAACGCCUGAGGCGAAAGCGGGGCACUGGGCCGAUUCUGACGCGGAGACGGCGAAAGCCGUGGGGAGCAAACAGG
rnacentral:rRNA from 1 species